GGGAAGCAGAAUGGAGUUUCAGAGGAACAAAUCCCGAGUGUGGGAAUUCCAGCUGUUCGACCCCUUGCCUUUUCUGUCUACUGAUGAACUGGAACACACACUGCUCAAAAGUCAAAAGAUUCCCAGGGAUUCCCAGAAGCUGAACCCAUGGUACCCACCAGCCUGCUGCCAUGCCAAGGCACAGAGAACAAGGAUGUGUGUACAGCCUGGAGAAGGGACUGGCCCCAGCCCUGAUGCCCUGAAAGGAAGACCUCUCAGAAGUGAAGAUGGUAACGACAAGAAUUCCAGAUCACUGAGACUCUACUCACUGUCACUGGGGACCAAGGAAGUUUCACAAGCACUACGGAAAUCACGUGAAUAUGAAAAAUGUCACGUUCUGGGGUCUCUUC